rnacentral:rRNA from 1 species
GAUGAACGCUGGCGGCGUGCCUAACACAUGCAAGUCGAGCGAACAGACGAGGAGCUCGCUCCUCUGCCGUUAGCGGCGGACGGGUGAGUAACACGUGGAUAACCUACCUAUAAGACUGGGAUAACUACGGGAAACCGGAUCCAAUACCGGAUCAUAUAUCGAACGGCAUGGAUCAAUAGAGCAAGACGGUUUGGCUGACUCUAAUAGAUGGUGUCGCGUCGGAUUAGCUAGUUGGUAAGGUAACGGCUUACCAAGGCAACGAUGCGUAGCCGACCUGAGAGGAUGAUCGGCCACACUGGAACUGAGACACGGUCCAGACUCCUACGGGAGGCAGCAGUAGGGAAUCUUCCACAAUGGGCGAAAGCUUGACGGAGCAACGCCGCGUGAGUGAUGAAGGUCUUCGGAUCGUAAAGCUCUGUUAUUGGGGAAGAACAGCUGUAUAUGAAACUAUGGACGUCUUGACGGUACCUAAUCAGAAAGCCACGGCUAACUUCGUG